UGUAGGCAUCUAGGAGGAAGCUGUUCCAGACACAGCGCAGCCCUUCUGAGGUCAGCAUGCGCCUCCACUCUCCGCGAGUGGACUUGGAGCGGCUCAGAAGCAACGCCACGUGCUUGAGCAGAAUGACCGAGUCAUAGAGCGCCAGGAAGAGGCAGUUGGAGAAAAAGACUGGCAGGAUCUGCAGGGUGAUCAGCAAGUCUACGCUGAGGAGUCCCAUCUUCUCUGCCUCCUCGAUGCCUCUUGUGAGGAUGACAGCUGUCCAGAUACUGGAUUUCUGCCACCAUCUCAUUUCAAAGAGGCCACCAAACAGCUGUUAGGAGGCAAGAGUGUCCAUUUGCUACUGACCAGAGAAUUAUUCACCUCUGAAAAUAUCCAAAUUGUGGGAAUGUUAUGAACCAGGACUUCACAAAGAACAGAGCAGAAUACUGUCUCAUCAUGACGUGUGCACACUCCUCCAGGAUACAGAGGUCUCAGGAUGGACGAUUUGAACUCACCCUCUUCGGUGGACUUCUUCUUGUGUGGUGUCUAAUGGUCUGUGACAAUACACUCAUUU
rnacentral:lncRNA from 1 species